AUUGAACGCUGGCGGCAGGCCUAACACAUGCAAGUCGAACGGUAACAGGAAGCAGCUUGCUGCUUCGCUGACGAGUGGCGGACGGGUGAGUAAUGUCUGGGAAGCUGCCUGAUGGAGUGGGAUAACUACUGGAAACGGUAGCUAAUACCGCAUAAUGUCGCAAGACCAAAGAGGGGGACCUUCGGGCCUCUUGCCAUCGGAUGUGCCCAGAUGGGAUUAGCUUGUUGGUGGGGUAACGGCUCACCAAGGCGACGAUCCCUAGCUGGUCUGAGAGGAUGACCAGCCACACUGGAACUGAGACACGGUCCAGACUCCUACGGGAGGCAGCAGUGGGGAAUAUUGCACAAUGGGCGCAAGCCUGAUGCAGCCAUGCCGCGUGUAUGAAGAAGGCCUUCGGGUUGUAAAGUACUUUCAGCGGGGAGGAAGGAGUAAAGUUAAUACCUUUGCUCAUUGACGUUACCCGCAGAAGAAGCACCGGCUAACUCCGUG
rnacentral:rRNA from 1 species